UACGUAGGGGGCAAGCGUUGUCCGGAUUUAUUGGGCGUAAAGAGCGUGUAGGCGCCAGGUAGGUCCGCUGUGAAAACUCGAGGCUCAACCUCGAGAUGUCGGCGGAAACCAUCUGGCUAGAGUCCGGAAGAGGAGAGUGGAAUUCCCUGGUGUAGCGGUGAAAUGCGCAGAUAUCAGGAAGAACACCCGUGGCGAAGGCGGCUCUCUGGGACGGUACUGACGCUGAGACGCGAAAGCGUGGGGAGCGAACAGG
rnacentral:rRNA from 1 species